CACGACCAAGACUCUAAAAAACAGAGAGAAAAGAAAACCAAAAACCAUUUCUUGGCUGGUUUGAAGAAAUUCUAAGGAGAUCCAAGUGAAAUCAAAGCCAAAGAAGUGGAUUAAGCUUAGUUCUAGCCUUUUUAUGAUAUUUCUUGGUGGUUUCCAAGUGGUUUGAGGUUUAGAAAAGCUAGAAGAGAUUGUUUUCGCCGAAAAGUUGCUCGGAUAAGCACAUCAACACCUAAGACACCACUUGUUACACGGUGAAUAAUAUUUUGGACAGAAGGUAAGUAAAGUACUCAACUGCA